UGAAGAGUUUGAUCAUGGCUCAGAUUGAACGCUGGCGGCAGGCCUAACACAUGCAAGUCGAGCGGCAGCGGGAAAGUAGCUUGCUACUUUUGCCGGCGAGCGGCGGACGGGUGAGUAAUGCCUGGGAAAUUGCCCAGUCGAGGGGGAUAACAGUUGGAAACGACUGCUAAUACCGCAUACGCCCUACGGGGGAAAGCAGGGGACCUUCGGGCCUUGCGCGAUUGGAUAUGCCCAGGUGGGAUUAGCUAGUUGGUGAGGUAAUGGCUCACCAAGGCGACGAUCCCUAGCUGGUCUGAGAGGAUGAUCAGCCACACUGGAACUGAGACACGGUCCAGACUCCUACGGGAGGCAGCAGUGGGGAAUAUUGCACAAUGGGGGAAACCCUGAUGCAGCCAUGCCGCGUGUGUGAAGAAGGCCUUCGGGUUGUAAAGCACU
rnacentral:rRNA from 1 species